CCUGCCCUUUGUACACACCGCCCGUCGCUACUACCGAUUGAAUGGCUUAGUGAGGCCUUCGGACUGGCUCAGGGAGGUCGGCAACGACCACCCAGAGCCGGAAAGUUCGUCAAACUACGUCAUUUAGAGGAAGUAA
rnacentral:rRNA from 1 species